UACGUAGGUGGCAAGCGUUGUUCGGAAUUAUUGGGCGUAAAGGGCGCGUAGGCGGCAUGUUAAGUCGGCUGUGAAAGCCUGGGGCUCAACCCCAGAGGGUCGGCCGAUACUGGCAAGCUAGAGUACGGAAGAGGUAGCUGGAAUUCCCGGUGUAGCGGUGAAAUGCGUAGAUAUCUGGAGGAACAUCGGUGGCGAAGGCGGCAUCCUGGACCGGUAUUGACGCUGAGGCGCGAAAGCCAGGGGAGCAAACGGG
rnacentral:rRNA from 1 species